rnacentral:rRNA from 1 species
CCGGCACGGGUGAGUAACACGUAUGCAAUCCACCUGUAACAGGGGGAGUAACCCGGAGAAAUCCGGACUAAUACCCCAUAAUAUGGGCGCUCCGCAUGGAGAGCCCAUUAAAGAGAGCAAUUUUGGUUACAGACGAGCAUGCGCUCCAUUAGCCAGUUGGCGGGGUAACGGCCCACCAAAGCGACGAUGGAUAGGGGUUCUGAGAGGAAGGUCCCCCACAUUGGUACUGAGACACGGACCAA